GAAAUAUCUAGACUUAGGAUUUUUAUUCAGGAAAGUUGGAAUUAUAAUCCUAUAGAUGUCUAACAAGUUGCAUGCAUGAUAUUGUAGAGCUCAACACUUGUAAACGAACCAUUAGGCUCUCGCUUUCUAAGUUCGUCUAUUGACCAGUGUCGAUCGAUGAUUCUAUAUGAAUAUCGAUCGAUGUACUAUUCGAAACGUCGACUGAUUAUUCUAUUUGAAUAUCGAUCGAUGAUGUUGGUCAAGCGUUAAUGCGCGGGUUGAAUGUGCUCACUAAGCUCACUAGAUCAGCUUACGCCUUAUUCUUAGCAAGAAUCUUAGCUCAAUUAGAAU
rnacentral:lncRNA from 1 species